rnacentral:rRNA from 1 species
CCUACGGGAGGCAGCAGUGGGGAAUAUUGGGCAAUGGGCGCAAGCCUGACCCAGCAACGCCGCGUGAAGGAAGAAGGCUUUCGGGUUGUAAACUUCUUUUGUCAGGGAAGAGUAGAAGACGGUACCUGACGAAUAAGCUACGGCUAACUACGUGCCAGCAGCCGCGGUAAUACGUAGGUGGCAAGCGUUGUCCGGAUUUCCUGGGUGUAAAGGGCGUGUAGCCGGGUUGACAAGUCAGAUGUGAAAUCCUGCGGCUUAACCGCAGAACUGCAGUUGAAACUGUUGAUCUUGAGUACUGGAGAGGCAGACGGAAUUCCUAGUGUAGCGGUGAAAUGCGUAGAUAUUAGGAGGAACACCAGUGGCGAAGGCGGUCUGCUGGACAGCAACUGACGGUGAGGCGCGAAAGCGUGGGGAGCAAACAGGAUUAGAUACCCUUGUAGUC